rnacentral:lncRNA from 1 species
UCACGUUACCCCUCCAUUUAAAAUUUAUUUUAAUACAUGUACUCGGCUGUAAACCACUAAUCAAGAUGAUUAGAUUAUACAACCAAAACUGUGCAGAUGAUAUCUUUCACCCAAGAAGACUGCUACCUUUACUACAGAACGAACUGCUAAUAUAAAAAUGGUGUCCUUGUAGAAUCAAAACUGCAAAGCUGGGCAAUCUUUAAUUGCUCAAGCUGGAGAUGAAAUUGUAUUAGGAAGAAAAGUGAAGAACACAGAUACAUUACCACACCAGAAUCAGAUUAUUAGCCAACUUAAUUCAACUUAUCACCAACAUUACCUCUAUAAAGAGUUAGGGCCACAAUACAAAUCAAGGAAUAGGGGUAUGCAUCUCAAGCCAGAAAUCUAAUUUAAGGUCGAAACAGAGCUUUUCAUGCAGACAAGACUAACAGGUAGGAAUCAGUAUCCUACACAGCAGCAUUCUAAUGAGUAUAUCAUUUUUAAGGUAAAGUUUUAUUAAUGAAGGUAACAAGAUGGUAUAAUUAUGCCAGACCAAAAACUACCAUAAUAAUCUACAACAAAUCAACUAUCUCCACCAAGAAAUCUAUAUACUGCACCCCCACACAACCACCAUCUACAUUCUCUAUGCUGCUGCUCAUGCAACUCAGAUGAUUAACCCUUUGGAGUCUUUUCAAUUGAUAUCCUUCACCAAACUAACACACAUACCAACUCACAUAUACCUCACAGAACUUCCUCCUUUCUACCACCUCCUCUAACAAAUCAGUUCACAUCUUAAUUGAGGAAAAGAGAGCAGACUUAUAGUUGGAGGGUGAACCACAUUACCCUCCCCAGACCCCACUUUGUUGGACUAUACUGGGUAGUUGUUGUUGUUGUUGUUUGCUCUUUUUGCAGGGAUCUGGAAGAGCUUUUGGUCACUUGUUACACCUUCAGUCAGUCGUAUUAGUAUCCCAGAUACUCAUUCUGCUGAAUGUGAAUCAAGUUAACCAAAGUUCCACCAGAUUAGAGCCACAGGAAUAGCCAAGAGUCACAAACCAGCCUAGUCCAAGGCAGGUUUACAUGCUGAAACAUAAACAGUUCUGAACCAAGAGUCACUAAACAGUCUACAGCUGCUUGCACAAGAAGAAAAAAGUUUGUUUAUAUAGACUUAUUGGUUAAUUUUGUUGAUAUAGAAGAGAUAAGAAGUAAAAUAAAAAAUUAAAGCAAAUCUAUAAUGUGAGACAGAAGAAGAAAAAAGAAGCAAAAGUAUAGAAAAUUAUAAAACAGUAAAACUAAUCUAAAUAAAAACAUCGUAGUUUUACCAUGAUAGAGUCGUGCAGGAACAAUCCUCUGAUUAGGAGAAGAGAAGCCAGUGCUCAUACCAGCCCAGUCUAAGUGAGAAUUUCAUCUGU